rnacentral:rRNA from 1 species
CAUGAAGCUGGAAUCGCUAGUAAUCGCGAAUCAGAAUGUCGCGGUGAAUACGUUCCCGGGUCUUGUACACACCGCCCGUCACACCAUGGGAGUUGGAAAUGCCCGAAGUCAGUGACCCAACCGCAAGGAGGGAGCUGCCGAAGGCAGGUCCGGUAACUGGGGUGAAGUCGUAACAAGGUACC